rnacentral:rRNA from 1 species
GACGAACGCUGGCGGCGUGCUUAACACAUGCAAGUCGAACGGAAAGGCCCCUUUGGGGGUACUCGAGUGGCGAACGGGUGAGUAACACGUGAGUAACCUGCCCUUGACUUCGGGAUAAAUUCAGGAAACUGGGGCUAAUACCGGAAAGGAAUCCUUGCUGCAUGGUGGGGGUUGGAAAGCUUCGGCGGUAUUGGAUGGACUCGCGGCUUAUCAGCUUGUUGGUGGGGUAGUGGCUUACCAAGGCUUUGACGGGUAGCCGGCCUGAGAGGGCGACCGGCCACAUUGGGACUGAGAUACGGCCCAGACUCCUACGGGAGGCAGCAGGGGGGAAUAUUGCACAAUGGGCGGGAGCCUGAUGCAGCAACGCCGCGUGCGGGAUGACGGCCUUCGGGUUGUAAACCGCUUUCAGCAGGGGCGAAGCUUGUGGUGACGGUACCUGCAGAAGAAGCACCGGCUAACUACGUG